CUUUAAUUCGUUUUGGGUCUUGGUCGGUUUCGUCAGAGAAGAGAAAGAAGAAGAAGGAGGAGGAGGAGACGGGCAGCUCCAGAAAGCUGAUCAUCAGCUUGCGCCCGAAUUUUUCCCUUCUCUUGCCUCUGAGUCCUCUCACUGCUCGGUUAUGGCACCUAAACCGAGGAUGACAAAAAAAAAUGCUCUUAGAAGGUGAUCAUAGCUCAGCAGAUUUAUGUCAUUCUGCAAGUUAUAGUGAAAGUUUAUCAAGUGAGGGGAAUAUGCGAGAAAUAAAGAAUGAUCAGACUUUUUUGCAUCUAGCAGAAAGUUCAUUUCACGACGAUAGCACACAUGAUCAAAUCAUGGCAAGAACAGGUUAUUAAAAACUGUUCUGAUGCCUAAACAGAGGACAAGCAGAAGAAAGUUUACAGUUGCAAGCAGAUAAAAGUGUUUAUAAUUAUAAUUGUGUGCAAUCUAACCUUCAUACUUCAGAACAAAGUCGUAAACACAAACGGAAAAGAUGUACAUCUGCUAUAAAUUUCAACUGUAGGGCAAGCACGUCCAACAAUCUAGGAGUCGAGAAAGCUGCUUGACAAGGAAAUAAUAUUGGACAAGCAUCAUAGCAAAGAAGCAAAUGUGGAGUCGAGAAAGCUGCUUGACAAGGAAAUAAUAUUGGACAAGCAUCAUAGCAAAGAAGCAAAUGUGGACCUUAUGGAAUAUGCGAGAAAUAAAGAAUGAUCAGAUUUUUGUUGCAUCUAUAGCAGAAAGUUCAUUUCACGACGACAGCACACAUGAUCAAAUCAUGCCAUCCACUAUUAAAUGCUUCAAAAUACAAGUACACAAGAAGAAGGCAAGAGCACACAUGCCAAGCAGGAUUAGAAACUGCAACUCCUUUUGAAGACUGCCAACAGAAGAUCAGUGAAGCCAGUCAUCUACUUUCCGCUGACUACAUGACAUUCUUUCAACUGCAAUGACAUAAACCAUUUUUUGAAAAGCUAAUGGUUUUUAUACUUUUAAGCAAUGUCAAUUAGCAGCGAAUCAAGCCAUGAACAUCUUUUUUGCUCCCUACAUGACAGUAUUUUGUAACAAAAUCAGACUAACUAUUUUUUUGUUUGUACAUAUGAUGCAUACAAAAUGCAUCUCCUAGAUCUAGGGCGAAACAAAAUUAACGUAACAACUUUAGCCCGCGGCAUCGCGCGGGUAAACUU